UCCAUGCUUUGCUAGUCCACCUAUGAGAUCACCACGGGCCCUCAGUGUCCUCUCUAGGAUGCACACACAUCUAAGAGAGCCUCAUCUGCACCUGAGGACUCUCCUCUGCGUAAGCCACCUCACUGCUUCCUCCAGUCCAAGGCAGGGGCGUCCCGCCGCUCACCGGAAGUGAAUCUCGCCGUCCAGUUCCAGCCAACGUCCUCAACCCUUGAGCCGGCCCAAGGCGGUGUCAGGGACACGCCCUAUUUGGGAAUAUUAGUCACAUAGCCUGCACCUUCUCCCCAGCUUAUCUGUCCAGCUCACUCCGUCCCCGCCUCUUAGAAGAUGAAUCACUCACGGAUUGAGAAGCAAAACCGAGACUGGACCAGGAACUCCAGUGCCCCACUGCCCUCGAAGAUAAAUUUUUGAAGGCCUGCUUGCUUUUUCACAUCUAAUCAAAGCAUUUCUGUGAUAUUCCCUCAUUUGAAGUUUACCUUGGGGAAGCAAACACAAUGCCUUCCAAGUAUAAUACUCUCCAUAUUUU